GGUAGCGUGGCCGAGUGGUCUAAGGCGCUGGUUUUAGGCACCAGUCAAUUCGAUGAAGUGGGUUCGAAUCCCACCGCUGCCA
rnacentral:tRNA from 1 species